UGGGGAAUAUUGCGCAAUGGGGGAAACCCUGACGCAGCGACGCCGCGUGGGUGAUGAAGGCCUUCGGUCGUAAAGCCCUGUCGUAGGGGAAGAAGCGGUAGGUGGCCAAUACCCGCCCUGCCUUGACGGUACCCUACAAGAAAGCACCGGCUAACUCCGUGCCAGCAGCCGCGGUAAUACGGAGGGUGCGAGCGUUGUUCGGAAUUACUGGCGUAAAGCGCGUGCAGGCGGCAGACUAAGUCCGGUGUGAAAGCCCGGGGCGUCACCCCCGGAACGUGCGCUGGAAACUAGUCCGCUAGAGUACGGGAGAGGGAAGUGGAAUUCCUGGUGUAGCGGUGAAUGCGUAGAUAUCAGGAGGAACACCGGCGGCGAAGGCGGCUUCCUGGACCGAUACUGACGCUGAGACGCGAAAGCGUGGGGAGCGAAACAGGAUUAGAUACCCUGGUAGUCCACGCCGUAAACGAUGGGCACUAGGUGUAGGAGGUAUUGACCCCUUCUGUGCCGAAGCUAACGCAUUAAGUCG
rnacentral:rRNA from 1 species